GUGAGCAAUCUGCCUUUCAGAGGGGGAUACCGAUUGGAAACGAUCGUUAAUACCGCAUAAUAUAAUUGAACCGCAUGAUUUGAUUAUCAAAGAUUUAUCGCUGAAAGAUGAGCUCGCGUCUGAUUAGCUAGUUGGUAAGGUAACGGCUUACCAAGGCGACGAUCAGUAGCCGGACUGAGAGGUUGAUCGGCCACAUUGGGACUGAGACACGGCCCAGACUCCUACGGGAGGCAGCGGUGGGGAAUAUUGCACAAUGGAGGAAACUCUGAUGCAGCGAUGCCGCGUGAGGGAAGAAGGUUUUAGGAUUGUAAACCUCUGUCUUCAGGGACGAAAAAAGACGGUACCUGAGGAGGAAGCUCCGGCUAACUACGUGCCAGCAGCCGCGGUAAUACGUAGGGAGCGAGCGUUGUCCGGAAUUACUGGGUGUAAAGGGAGCGUAGGCGGGAUCGCAAGUCAGAUGUGAAAACUAUGGGCUUAACCCAUAAACUGCAUUUGAAACUGUGGUUCUUGAGUGAAGUAGAGGUAAGCGGAAUUCCUAGUGUAGCGGUGAAAUGCGUAGAUAUUAGGAGGAACAUC
rnacentral:rRNA from 1 species